UCUGCUGCUCUGCCUUCAAAGCCAAAUUAGGAAAUGAAGUGCUGCACAUUAGCUUGUUUAGCUGGUUAAAUACCGUAAAUAAAUACAUACAGUGCAAUGAAAACUAAUGAGUUUUCUUUAAGGCAUUUUCUAAAUAGCUGGCUUCAUAAAAAAAAUUUAAAAAUGUUCCUGCUGUGAACUCAUAUCCUGAAGGAUUUGUCGUUUUGCUGCAACAAAAAUUGACCCUGGCUGAAAUCUGAACUCUGGAUUUCACCUGGAGACCAGGAUGUUGCAAGUCAUGGAGGAUGAUGCAGCAAACAGAGGAGUGAAGGCUCCCAGCACUUUUCAGAGAGGCCAGCAAUAUCUUGCAACUUCAAGAUGAAAAUGGUGACCAGCUCUGAGAAAUACAUAAGAGAUUCAGGCAGUCCUCAUCCAAAAGGACCAUUUAAAAAUAGACAAAUUAUGACUCUCUCAAAAAGAAAUGUAUGCAUUGCAUAAAUCAAAGUUCUCACACCCACCACCGAAGUUUAAUCACUUAAUAUGCUGGUUCUUUCAACAUGCUCUGAAACUUUGUAUACAAUAAUACAAACAAUGGGGUUACGAAGCAAUAGCAAUUUAUUCUGCUGUACAAACGGAUGUUGCAUUAUAAUCCCUAAAGCAACACAGAGGCUGUUUGCAGAUGUUACUACAAUUUGGCGUUUAUUUUAAUUGCUCUACAGUGUAGCGCAUGUGAAAUAAAGUCAUGGGAUGACCUACAC